AUUGAACGCUGGCGGCAUGCCUUACACAUGCAAGUCGAACGGCAGCGCGGACUUCGGUCUGGCGGCGAGUGGCGAACGGGUGAGUAAUACAUCGGAACGUACCCUGUUGUGGGGGAUAACUAGUCGAAAGAUUAGCUAAUACCGCAUACGACCUGAGGGUGAAAGUUGGGGACCGCAAGGCCUCACGCAGCAGGAGCGGCCGAUGUCUGAUUAGCUAGUUGGUGGGGUAAAGGCCCACCAAGGCGACGAUCAGGAGCUGGUCUGAGAGGACGAUCAGCCACACUGGGACUGAGACACGGCCCAGACUCCUACGGGAGGCAGCAGUGGGGAAUUUUGGACAAUGGGGGCAACCCUGAUCCAGCAAUGCCGCGUGUGUGAAGAAGGCCUUCGGGUUGUAAAGCACUUUUGUCCGGAAAGAAAUCGCGCUGGUUAAUACCUGGCGUGGAUGACGGUACCGGAAGAAUAAGCACCGGCUAACUACGUGCCAGCCGCCGCCGUAA
rnacentral:rRNA from 1 species